UGCCAGUCGCCGCGGUCAUACGGAGGGUGCGAGCGUUAAUCGGAAUUACUGGGCGUAAAGCGUACGCAGGCGGUUUGUUAAGCGAGAUGUGAAAGCCCCGGGCUCAACCUGGGAACUGCAUUUCGAACUGGCAAACUAGAGUGUGAUAGAGGGUGGUAGAAUUUCAGGUGUAGCGGUGAAAUGCGUAGAGAUCUGAAGGAAUACCGAUGGCGAAGGUAGCCACCUGGGUCAACACUGACGCUCAUGUACGAAAGCGUGGGGAGCAAACAGGAUUAGAAACCCCGGUAGUCC
rnacentral:rRNA from 1 species